CAGUGGACGUGACUCUGGAUCCAGGCACAGCUCAUCCCAACCUCGUCCUGUCUGCGGAUCGGAAACAUCUUCAUAUAAUCGGUAAUCAAGAUGUGACACUUCCUUUCUUGUUCUCACAUCAAGAAAACACGGUCCCGAACCUCAAAUGCUAUCUUCCUAUAUAUAGAAAUCUUUUCUACAAUAUCCUUUUCUUAGUUUAUUUUUCUUUAGAAAUAUUAUUUGCAGGCAAUGUACUGUCAGUGUCCACUGUUGAUUUCAAUGUACUGCUGGGCUCUUUAUGUUCUUGGUUCUAAGGAUGAAACAAAUGUAUUUUGGUAAAGAAACAGAGACGGGGUUGUAUUCCUUUACUGAAUCAUCAUAAAUUAAGCUAAUUGUAUUAGAGACACUGGCACUUGAUGACACAUAACAUGGAAUUUGGUGAUGCUUUAUUAGGAAACCUUUCUUCUCAGCCAUAAAUCAGUCAAAAGGGUGACAUUUUGUUGUCAUGUGAGGUUUAGAGUACAAAGAAAAUAAAGUUGCUCCAGGAAGUUAAUCUCAGUUCCUCUCGGUUCUGUCCACCAUCUUCAGGAAUACUCUGUAAAAAUAGUGACAUUGAUCUAAUUCCUUCAAAUUAGACAUUGAACUAAUUUCUUGAAGAGCUAGCUGAGCAGAGUAUGAGGACAGGCACAUCGCAUGGCACUGCUUGGACUACUUUUUGUUUUUAACGUGAUGCAUUAUGAACAUUUUCAAUGUAAUAAUUCAGUUUUGAAAAUUUAUUCACGAUAUGCCAAUCAUGUCAGAGUGCCCUAAACUUACUUUGAUUAUUUUAAAAUAAACACCCUAAAGUUAUCUUUU